rnacentral:rRNA from 1 species
UAUGUGAUCGUCUCUCGCAUAUCAAUAAGCGGAGGAAAAGAAACUAACAAGGAUUCCCCUAGUAACGGCGAGUGAAGCGGGAAGAGCUCAAAUUUGAAAUCUUAAAGGGUUUCCCUUUACGAAUUGUAGUUUAAAGAAGUGUUUUCUGUUGAGGUUUUGGUAAAAGUUCUUUGGAAUAGGACAUCAUAGAGGGUGAGAAUCCCGUAUUUGACCUUUACUUUCAACUUUGUGAUACACUUUCAAAGAGUCGGAUUGUUUGGGAAUGCAGUCCAAAAUGGGUGGUAAAUUUCAUCUAAAGCUAAAUAUUGGCGAGAGACCGAUAGCGAACAAGUACCGUGAGGGAAAGAUGAAAAGAACUUUGAAAAGAGAGUUAAACAGUACGUGAAAUUGUCAAAAGGGAAGCGUUUGACACCAGUGUUGUUUUUCUGAAAAUCAAUUAAAGAACUGUUUAUGCUAAGUUGUUUAGACUUUAUCAGCUAUCUGUUUAGUUUUGAGCUUUUCUUUAAUGCACUUUUCAGUUAACAAGUCAACAUCAAUUUCUUUUGCUGUAAAAAAGCUUGAGGAAGGUGGCUUGAGAUUCGUCUUAAGUGUUUAUAGCCUCUUGCCUAUGCAGUCGGAGAGAUUGAGGUCUGCAGCGUAGAUCCUUCGGGGCUAAAUGCAUUCGUGCUAAGUUAUAGCAUUUUAUAGACAACUUGUUGACUAUGAUUUGUCUUGUAGCUUACUCGCUUAUGUUAUUUUACCUACGCUUAGGAUGUUGAAGCUGUGCAUAUCAAUAAGCGGAGGAAAAGGCUGCGGAACUGAACGACCGCUACCUACGCUUAGGAUGUUGAAUCUGUGCGAGACUAC